AGGGGUAUCGCCAAGUUGGUAAGGCACUGGAUUCUGAAUCCAGCAUGCGUUGGUUCGAGUCCAGCUACCCCUGCCA
rnacentral:tRNA from 1 species